GAUGAACGCUGGCGGCGUGCCUAAUACAUGCAAGUCGAGCGAACAGACGAGGAGCUUGCUCCUUUGACGUUAGCGGCGGACGGGUGAGUAACACGUGGGUAACCUACCUAUAAGACUGGGAUAACUUCGGGAAACCGGAGCUAAUACCGGAUAAUAUUUCGAACCGCAUGGUUCGAUAGUGAAAGAUGGCUUUGCUAUCACUUAUAGAUGGACCUGCGCCGUAUUAGCUAGUUGGUAAGGUAACGGCUUACCAAGGCAACGAUACGUAGCCGACCUGAGAGGGUGAUCGGCCACACUGGAACUGAGACACGGUCCAGACUCCUACGGGAGGCAGCAGUAGGGAAUCUUCCGCAAUGGGCGAAAGCCUGACGGAGCAACGCCGCGUGAGUGAUGAAGGUCUUCGGAUCGUAAAACUCUGUUAUUAGGGAAGAACAAACGUGUAAGUAACUGUGCACGUCUUGACGGUACCUAAGCAGAAAGCCACGGCUAACUACGU
rnacentral:rRNA from 1 species